GAUGAACGCUGGCGGCGUGCCUAAUACAUGCAAGUCGAGCGAACAGACGAGGAGCUUGCUCCUCUGACGUUAGCGGCGGACGGGUGAGUAACACGUGGAUAACCUACCUAUAAGACUGGGAUAACUUCGGGAAACCGGGGCUAAUACCGGAUAAUAUAUUGAACCGCAUGGUUCAAUAGUGAAAGACGGUUUUGCUGUCACUUAUAGAUGGAUCCGCGCCGCAUUAGCUAGUUGGUAAGGUAACGGCUUACCAAGGCAACGAUGCGUAGCCGACCUGAGAGGGUGAUCGGCCACACUGGAACUGAGACACGGUCCAGACUCCUACGGGAGGCAGCAGUAGGGAAUCUUCCGCAAUGGGCGAAAGCCUGACGGAGCAACGCCGCGUGAGUGAUGAAGGUCUUCGGAUCGUAAAACUCUGUUAUUAGGGAAGAACAAAUGUGUAAGUAACUAUGCACGUCUUGACGGUACCUAAUCAGAAAGCCACGGCUAACUACGU
rnacentral:rRNA from 1 species